rnacentral:lncRNA from 1 species
CACAGCUAUCGCCACCGAUCAUAGAAUUUUAUUAUCGGAUAAUAUCGAUGUUCUUAAAGAUUUUCACUGUUCCGUGGUUAACCAAUCAGCGCAAAUAUAUACACAUGUGCAAAGCAUCAUCGAAGCCAACCAAUCAGCAUUGUUGAAUGUUGUAAGACAUCAUCAGAGAUGCCUAGCCUAUAUUUUUUAAUCUAUGGAAACCAGUACGCAUUAAGGUAAUAGUCCGGUUUAGCCGGUUUAUUAAUUGAUUUUUGUUUACAUUUUUCGCAAGAAAAACUUUUUAAAAAUAUUAUCUGAAAGUUUCAGACCGAAAUUUAAAAUAUUUUCAAAGUUAUAGCCACGAAGUGCGCGCCGUAAUGUGUAUGAAAGUGUGCUGACAUGUUAGCAGCAGAUUUUCCGACCGUUCCCUCUCUCAUUGUUCCCUCGACCCUUUAUUAUUCUAGGAAUACCCAGGUAUACGUAAUACACCUUUUCGAUUGACAAAAACUGAAUAUAAGAAUUUUAAACAGUGUAGAAGAAAAAUUUUAAAGCAUUUCAUCAAUAACCAUUUUUCGUUCGACACGUGCACAUGGCUUUAAAAUAGGAAACAAGUGCUUUAGCCAAGGUCGACACGAGAA